rnacentral:misc_RNA from 1 species
GCUCGGAUGAGGCUAUGCGGGGAAGCAGCUGUGAACUGCUGCUGGACCCGCAGGCUGAGCUCAGGAAGCGCCGUCUGCUGGAGCUGGCCCGUCCGAAGAAGCGUCCGGCUCGGCGCACCUGCCGUCAGCGCGUCUGGUUCUACGCGACGUCGCUGUUCGCGAUGACGGCCGUCUCGGCCGGAUCCAGCCUGCUCUUCCUGGUACCGCUCUACGUCGAUCCGGCCAUCUCGACGCUGGCCGCCGACUUCACGCCGCAGCCCGUCACCUGCGUCACGGUGCGUCGCGACGACCGGCGCGGCAUUAACAACUGUACGUGGAGCAGCUGUCGCGAAGGCUGCACCAGUGACAUGUACUCGUGUACGCACAUAUUCGUGUCCUACCACGCACAUAACCUGUCCGACUCCUCAACGCCGGAUGACUUCACGGACGAAGCUGUCCUGCUGGUGAACAUCAAGGGCUGCGGCUACCCGCCCGAGGUGCGCUGUGCCGACUUCAACACGCUGUACGGCGAGGAGGGCGCCCACUUCCCGUGCUACUACUCGCGCCAGAAUCGGACUAUUGUGAUGACCAGCUACGACCGCGACAAACAGGUCGAGGUCAUUAUUAACUAUUUCGCGAUUCCGUUUGUGGUGACACUGGUCACGUCGGUUGUGCUCUGCGUGAUGCACUGUGACUGUCGCAACACCACGCCGCCACGCUCCUUCCGCAGGGCUCGUGUCGAGGAUGCCAGACAAGCUGGACAACCAGCGAAGAAUCAAACGAGAGUGGUGAAGCUGCAGAGAAAAAGCAGUACAUGUACAACGUUCGGCUGAACUAAUUCCAAUCCAGUUGGAACGGUUUUUGCUCACAAUGAGAAACAGGGGGUUGACGCGCCUUUCUUGUCGAUUAGUGACUACUCGAUCAGCACACGUGUGGACCGAAUUGCGGCCUCCCAGCAAGACCUGAGCCGGCCUCUCUGACAUAGGGAGGACACAGUGGACAGCAGUCACCUGAUGAUCACUUCGCACUCCAGCGACCUCUAGCAUCAGCCUGCCACUACCAGUGCCCUCACAACACCUCGCUGGUAAACUGCAAUCCACUGUUGUCCGCCCGCCCGCCCGCCGCGAUAACCACUUAAAAAACGUGUAACCUGCUGAAAUUAAGUGUUAUGCCAUGAAAAUAAUGUGUUACAUACGGUACUGCAAACUUAACGUCAAAUACUGGAAUAAUGUGUCAAUGGGAACGAUGUUUUACGUUUGAAAAGAACUGUUACACGCUGAAAAUAACGUUUUAGGUACUGAAAAUAGCAUGUCCAAAUUUUUAAGGACUUGAGUGUUUCCACGCCACUCCUCCGCUGAGUCAUUGCCUUAACUCAAGAAAAGACUCGAUAAAUUAUUUGUUUAUAUGAUAGAAAAAAACAAGAAAUUACGCAUUCUUCGCCGACGGCUUCCUCAAUAUUGAUAUUCUAACGUGAUAAAUCACGGAACUACGUAAACCAUACAAGACAUUCUCGACGAUUAAGAUUACGCAGUAAAGUCUUAAGUCUCAACCUCGUUACCAAAGACCUGGAAUAAUCGAGAAAAUUAUUUUUUUACAAUUCGCUUUUAUUUGAUGUGUGAAAGCGCAGAGACUGGGUGUGAAUAUGUUGUUGCAUGCACACAAUAACUUACUUGUACAUUAGGAGUAUGAUCAUAAUAAUAUUUAUUGCAAUUUUGAUAACACAGUUGGACCCUACAAGGUGUAAGUGGAAGUAUUGUAUGAAUCAACUGCGGCAAUUUUUCAAUUCAAAUUAUUCAUUAGAAUCUCAUUUAAAUGUUUGAAUCCAUCAAUGGGGGAUUAUUCUAGAAACUGUUUGAAUAAUGAUCAUUUAUCACCAAAUAUAAUCGUUCAAGAUACCGUAUUGUCAAGUGAGAAUUACAGUAGAGCCUCAAUACGUUGAAUCUGGAAAGAACAAGGUGAAAUUGUCCUUCGAGAUCAACAAUAAAAUUAUUAAACAGAUAAAUUGAGAUUUUGAUAUGAGAUGAGGACGUCGAAAAAGAAAAUUCCCAAUGAUUUGGAAUACAGUAAGUUGUAGAAAUAAAAUAUUCAAAAUAACUUAUCAUUCCUCAUUUCUAUGCAUUCUUAACAUGCUUAAAGAAAAAUGCACUGAGCAAAAAAUACGUCAUAAAAUUUGAGUUUGAGUAAUAAUUGAGGUUCAACUGUACAGUCAAGCUUCCAUAAUAGAGUAAUAUAGAUAAUAAUCUGCAUACUACUCGUUCCAGGUGGAGAAUCUCUCUAACUUAUCACAAUUUGAAAUACAAUACUACUGCGCCACCUAAGGUUAUUUCAAACUUCAGUGAAUGUAUGUAGACUAUCUCACAUUUCUAGUUUGGUACUAGAGAAAUAAGAAAAGAAACUGAUCUUUUUUAUCUGAAAAUCAUUAUUUGAAUAUUUUAUCUACCACUGUACUGAUUAAACGGAUUGAUAACAAUUUUAGAAAAUCAAUGAAACUCAAUUACCAGGAGUGAAAUAGAAAUGAAAUAGCAAAAUGAAUCUGUAAUGAGCAUCAAUUACUAAAAUGAAAUAGAAUUACGGUACCAAAAGUGUGCACUUUAAGUUUGAUAAAAAAUUCUUCAAAGGAAUACGAAAAUCAAUGAAACACUACACAGGACACAGGCAUUUAUACCAUUGACAAUCGCAGGUAGUAAUAAUAGAAAUUAUCAUAGGCUUUCCAUAGAUUCGACUAAAUUAUUUUGAAUUUAUAAAUUUUCGUAGUUGAAAGCAGAGAUAUUUGCUUAGUACCAACAUCAAUACGAAAAAGAGAGGUACUAGGUAGUUUUUUAGUUCAUCUGAUAAGCCUCUCAUUUAUUAUUAUUGUUUUUCUACAAAAAUGAUUGCAUCUUCUUGAACCAAGGAGGACAGUUACACUCUGCCAACAACUGAUGAUACAUUGCCGCCUUGAAGGAUGCAAGCUAUUUUCAACAAUGGACUGCAUUAUAAUUGCCAGAAAUUCAUUAGGUUUGUAGAGUGAAUAUUGAUGUUGUGGAUCUUUUUCAAAAUUAAAGAGACUUGAAAUAUUCAAUUGAAUUCUUUGACAAUAUCUCAAGUCUUUUUAAUUGCCAGAAAUUGAUCGUUUUCAAAAAAUGAUGUUCAGGAAACCGCUUACUUUCUCACGUCAUUCAGCCCCAUCAGUUCAGUAUCAUUACCACAUCUUAAGAGCUUUUUCGUGUGUUACACCUUUCAAACUUUGUGAGUGAAGUCAAUCACUUGAUUCUUCACACAAUUGGAAUAAAUUAUCCAUCCAGCAAGUGAACUGCCAAGUUCUUUAUUAUAAGUCCUUAAAAUAAGUUACCACUAGAAAAUCGGUCGUUCUCUCUUGGAAUUCCGUCUAUAAUCUUCUGCUCUCUUGCUUCCAUUCCAGUUUGUCUAUCGCUCUCUUACUAUCUUCAUGCUGUCUAUUGCUUUUCGUGACUUCUGUAAUUAAUUGAAGGGAAUUUAUGGGUAUCCAGUUAGAAUUCGUCACUAGGGACUAGCCAGUAGGAGGCUUUAAGCGUUUGCUGUCUAUGGCGGAGCAGAAUGAACAGAGCAACAAAUAAAUACCGGGCAUUGAUUGUAGGGUCUCCUUGGGAUUUGAGAAUCUAGAAUGGCUUGGCUAGUCUUUCCUACAGUCAAUAUGGUUAUAUAGUUACUGUAGUCUUUCUUAAUGCAAAGUACAAUUCCCUAACUUUGCAAUGCAUGUUAUCUCAUGAAGCACAAUCAUUAUUAAAAUAUUGUUUCCCUGGAGAUAUAUAACUUGGAGAUAAUAUUUAUACACUUGAAAAUGUACUACAAUACAGUUUCAUAUCAGUUAUAUAUUUGCAGUUCAUGCAUAAUACCCGUUUGGCUGUUAAUUCAGUUGUAUAACAAUUGUUGUUGAAAUUUAAUAAUCAUCAAUAUUUUGUUAAAUUUCAGAUAGCUCACAAAACUUAUAAUUUUCACAUCUCUUGUUUAUUCUAGUUUUUCCAAGCUAGCUUAGCACUUAUAAGUUGGUAUGCUCUAAUCUGGAAUUUGAGGAACAGAUUAAAUUUUUUCUAUUCACCUGAACUAUGAACUUCUAAUUAUUUAAUCUUUCUCAAUCGCAGAAAGUUGAUGAUACUAAUUCGAACUUUACAUAAAAAGUUGCCACAAGAGAUUAGGCCCACCUUCAACUAUCUCCCCAACAAACAAUAGACUUUAAUUCCUUCUCCGUACUCUUUGGAUAACGAUACUGCGUUGUUCCACUUAAUCGUUCUCAAACCUCAUGAAUGGAAAAAUAUCAGAAAAUUAUAAUUAUAAUUGAUCAUUUAAAAUUUUCAAAAUUAUAGUUAUUGAAGUAGCUAUCAAUAACAAUAAUUAUUCAAUUCAAUGGAAUAUACCAUUAUUAUUCUACAAAUCCUGCAAUAGUAACAUUAAUAGCCAUGAAUAAAUAAAUAAAUUCACGAUUUCAGGCAUAGUAGUUCAGAGCUAGAAACACCUCAGAAAUCUUAGAAUUUGUAAUGACAUAUUACUAUCUAAUGAGAUAAUAAUCCCACCUUUAAAAAUGCUUUUUGUAUCAUUUAUUGUAUUUUUAUCACAAUUUUACAACGGAAACAACAGGUGAAAUUCGAAUAUGCUUCCUUAACAUAACAACAAGCAAUUAUGCAAAGUUAGUCAGUGAGGUUCAGCCAAUUCAUUUAGCUUGUUAGAAGAACAGUUUUCAAGAAAACUAUUCCUCCAUUUUCAAAUCAAGCAUACCUACCUAUAUAACUUUAUGAGUUUCUUUGUUUAUCCAACAAUCUUAUUCAUUGUUUCCAAAAUCAAUAGGAUAUCGUUUAAAAUUAGUGAAACUCCAUUCCUUGAUUAAUUCAACCACAUUUAAAUCCAGGAUUGAAUGGUAUUAUUUUGAAGCUCCAAUUCCACGUUUAUGUGAACUAUUCCAAGCUCAUCUCGGAUCAAGAAAACCAGUUUUGAAUAAUGAAUUUCAUAUACCUAAAUGAUUAUUAAAUAUACUUUAUCUGCUUUCAAUUAAUUCUCAAUCAGCAAUAUUUCAUGAACUGUACGUAAAUUAAUCCAUCAAUAUUAUAUUCAGAUAUAUUUAUGAAAUUAAGUAUUAGAUGUGCUAUUGCAAUGAGUUUGAUGUUUUGAAAUGUGGAUUGUGAAAUUCUAGGCUGUAGACCCAAGACGAGCAUUUAAAUGAUCAUGACCAAAUUUAAUAAUUGCUCAAUAUUGUGUUACAAUGAUCUAUUCCAAACGGUGAAUCAUCAUUUUGGAGUGGUAGGUACGGUACUUAUAAAACGAGCUAAAACCAUCAAAUUCAAUUGAAUAAUCAAUAAUUAUAUUGAUUGGUUUCAAAAUCAUUCAUUCAUAUCAAACUACUAAUGUUGAUGUUGGUAUAGGAAAAUGAUUAUUAAUCAUUGAUCGUGGGAUAAUAAAAUAUUUUUCAGAUCAUUAAACAAUUCCAGGUUUGAAAUAAUCGUUGAUAUUUAGAAUAAAGCUACACAAUAAAGUAAUUAGCUUACUUGAAGAAUAAAUUUAUUAUUAUCAUCA